rnacentral:rRNA from 1 species
AUAUGUUGGUUCAAGCCUGUAGUCGUGCCUGGUAGGUAAAUCCGCCGGGCUUAGAUGAGGGGUGAUAACGAGGCUGCUUGCAGCCGAAGUGAGUGAUACCCUGCUUCCAGGAAAAGCCACUAAGCUUCAGCUAUACACGACCGUACCGCAAACCGACACUGGUGCGCGAGAUGAGUAUUCUAAGGCGCUUGAGAGAACUCAGGAGAAGGAACUCGGCAAAUUGACACCGUAACUUCGGAAGAAGGUGUGCCUUUAGUAGGUGAACCUGUACAAGGGGAGCCAAUGAGGUUGCAAAAAAUCGGUGGCUGCGACUGUUUAUUAAAAACACAGCACUCUGCAAACACGAAAGUGGACGUAUAGGGUGUGACGCCUGCCCGGUGCUGGAAGAUUAAAUGAUGGGGUGCAAGCUCUUGAUUGAAGUCCCAGUAAACGGCGGCCGUAACUAUAACGGUCCUAAGGUAGCGAAAUUCCUUGUCGGGUAAGUUCCGACCUGCACGAAUGGCGUAACGAUGGCCACACUGUCUCCUCCUGAGACUCAGCGAAGUUGAAAUGUUUGUGAUGAUGCAAUCUCCCCGCGGAAAGACGGAAAGACCCCAUGAACCUUUACUGUAGCUUUGUAUUGGACUUUGAACAGAUCUGUGUAGGAUAGGUGGGAGGCUUUGAAGCAGGGUCGCUAGAUCUUGUGGAGCCAACGUUGAAAUACCACCCUGGUGUGUUUGAGGUUCUAACCCAGGUCCAUUAUCUGGAUCGGGGACAGUGCAUGGUAGGCAGUUUGACUGGGGCGGUCUCCUCCCAAAGCGUAACGGAGGAGUUCGAAGGUACGCUAGUUACGGUCGGACAUCGUGACGAUAGUGCAAUGGCAUAAGCGUGCUUAACUGCGAGACUGACAAGUCGAGCAGAUGCGAAAGCAGGACAUAGUGAUCCGGUGGUUCUGUAUGGAAGGGCCAUCGCUCAACGGAUAAAAGGUACUCUGGGGAUAACAGGCUGAUACCGCCCAAGAGUUCAUAUCGACGGCGGUGUUUGGCACCUCGAUGUCGGCUCAUCUCAUCCUGGGGCUGUAGCCGGUCCCAAGGGUAUGGCUGUUCGCCAUUUAAAGAGGUACGUGAGCUGGGUUUAAAACGUCGUGAGACAGUUUGGUCCCUAUCUUCCGUGGGCGCUGCAGAUUUGAGGAAGCCUGCUCCUAGUACGAGAGGACCGGAGUGGACAUACCUCUGGUGUAUCGGUUGUCACGCCAGUGGCAUUGCCGAGUAGCUAAGUAUGGAAGAGAUAAACGCUGAAAGCAUCUAAGCGUGAAACUCGUUUCAAGAUGAGAUCUGCCGGGGCCUUGAGCCCCCUAAAGAGUCGUUCAAGACCAGGACGUUGAUAGGUCAGGUGUGGAAGCGCAGUAAUGCGUUAAGCUAACUGAUACUAAUUGCUCGUGCGGCUUGACC